GUGCCAGCAGCCGCGGUAAUACGAAGGGUGCAAGCGUUACUCGGAAUUACUGGGCGUAAAGCGUGCGUAGGUGGUUUGUUAAGUCUGAUGUGAAAGCCCUGGGCUCAACCUGGGAAUUGCAUUGGAUACUGGCGAGCUAGAGUGUGGCAGAGGGUAGUGGAANUUCCUGGUGUAGCAGUGAAAUGCGUAGAGAUCAGGAGGAACAUCCGUGGCGAAGGCGACUGCCUGGGCCAACACUGACACUGAGGCACGAAAGCGUGGGGAGCAAACAGGAUUAGAUACCCUGGUAGUCC
rnacentral:rRNA from 1 species